AUCGAUAAAAGCGUACGCAAUGGACGCCCUUAUCAGCCAUCCCCGUAUGCGUAAAGUCAUACCAACGGCUUUAUGCGUAAAUCCUGUAUGGGCCUGGGCCAUUACAACGGCAGGGUACCAACAACAAUACAAGGAG
rfam:Firmicutes bacterium CAG:137_57_8 Ley3_66761_scaffold_5392, whole genome shotgun sequence.